UCCCUAGUAGCUCAGAUGGUGAAGCAUCUGCCUGCAAUGCAGGAGACCCGGGUUCGAUCCCUGAGUCGGGAG
rnacentral:tRNA from 1 species